UUCCCUAUGCAGUCUGUGAGGAGCGUCCAGAUAUAAGUAGAGCAGGGGUGCUGGGAGCGAAUGAGUGGUUCAAAGACUGAGCUGAGGCAUCAUGGGAAGUGGGGCCUGGCUGGAGUCAGGUGGGCACCUGGGAUGUGACUUUGGGACUGGAUGGACCAAAUCACAGAACACUGUAAACAAAACAAAUCUAUCCUCAUUGGUCAAAAUAUGCUGAAAGCUGGGUAUUGAGAAGAUACCUUUUGAAUGCACUUCAAGACAAGGCUAGGAGGGAGGCUGCUCUGACCCAGGACUGGGGAACUCUCUGCUCCCAUUUGGGGUUCUCCUCCUGCAUCUUUGACUCCUCAGCAGGCCUCAGCAUAGAGGCCCUGGAGUCCUAGGCCAUGAGCAGUAGCAGAGAACAGA